AGCUGAUAUAGCUCAAUUGGUAGAGCAACUGAUUUGUAAUCAGUAGGUUAUGGGUUCAAGUCCCUUUAUCAGCUU
rnacentral:tRNA from 1 species